GAUGAACGCUGGCGGCGUGCCUAAUACAUGCAAGUCGAGCGAACAGACGAGGAGCUUGCUCCUCUGACGUUAGCGGCGGACGGGUGAGUAACACGUGUAUAACCUACCUAUAAGACUGGGAUAACUUCGGGAAACCGGAGCUAAUACCGGAUAAUAUAUUGAACCGCAUGGUUCAAUAGUGAAAGACGGUUUUGCUGUAACUUAUAGAUGGAUCCGCGCCGCAUUAGCUAGUUGGUAAGGUAACGGCUUACCAAGGCAACGAUGCGUAGCCGACCUGAGAGAGUGAUCGGCCACACUGGAGCUGGGACGCGGUCCAGGCUCCUGCGAGAGGCAGCAGUAGGGAAUCUUCCGCAAUGGGCGAGAACAUGGCGGAGCGACGCCACGUGAGUGAUGAAGGUCUUCGGAUCGUAAAGCUCUGUUAUUAGGGAAGAACCAAUGUGUAAGUAACUGUGCACGUCUUGACGGUAACUGAUCAGAAAGCCCCGGCUAACUACGUG
rnacentral:rRNA from 1 species